UUUGUAUUGUUCACGUUUAUACCUCGUUCUACUUUCCGUCUAAAUAUGUCCCUACCGUUAGCAAAGUAGAUAAAACUACCCCUAACCCUAACAGAUCUCCAAUGUGGCAAUGGGACCCCUUAAUUAAUCUGCCAACUAGACAAAAUAUCAACCCAAAUUAAAAGACCCAUGUCCGACCCAACUAUCACAAAUGAAUGGGUCAAAAUUUGAAAACAAAUGGACGAUGACAAUGAAGAUGUCUCUAACAAAAGGGUACAAAAUGAUGAUUUUUCCCUAUCAACAGUACUAGUUUCUCUAUUUCAAAUCAUCGUCUUGAAUUUAUAAAUGGAUUCUAACGGAUCAAAGAUCGGAUUUCCGACCAAACUCCGAUGAGUUUCUUCAUUGCUCGUAAGACAACGAAUGGAGAAUCGCCGAAGCUUCUUCCGACCAAACUCCGAUGAGUUUCUUCGCUGAAGGUUCUUGACCAUGCUUGAACAUCUCUCGCUUAAAUGGGCUUGAAUAUGAAAACAAAAAGGAGGAAAUGGGUAAAUGGGCAUAAGGAAAGAGAAUAACUUGCAUCCAAUUUGAACAUACUAGAAGAUUUUGAGAUUUGAGAACAGUAAAAAAGAGAAGAAAAGAAAAAAUGGGGUGGAAGGGAGAUGGCAGGUCGAUCUGCAAAAUAGCCAACAUUCCGGCGAGAUUUGAAUAUGAUUUUCAGUUGGUUACCUUAUUAUGAGCCCUGGAAAAGAAGAAACGAGGAAGAAGAAAAGAUGUGGUUAAGGUGUUGGAUAGUUGGGUCAAAGAAAUGGGCAUGGGUCUUUUAAAAUUUGGGUUGAUAUUUUGUCUAGUUGGCAGAUUAAUUGAGGGGUUCCAUUGCCACGUUGGAGAUCUGUUAGGGUUAGGGGGAUUUCAUCUACUUUGCUAACAGUAGGGACAUAUUUAGACGAGGUAUAAAUGUAACAAUUUAUCAAAAUAGAGGUACAAAUUUGACCUUUUUCCCAAAGUAGAAACUGGAAUUUCGAUUAAA